GUCACUGGAAGGAGCAAUUGUGGUGGGGAGGGGUCAGCUGCAAGAGAGACCUCCCAAAGAUCAAGCAGUUAGGUGGAUGAGGAGGGACUGGAGCUGGCAGUGUGCAGGCAUGAUGUCUUGCUGGCUGCCCUUAAUAUAAUUAGGGGUGAACUAUUUUGCAGCAGCUGCUGGCAUCCAGACAUGGCAUCACCUUUUUUUGUAUGGAUGUUGUGUGCAAAUAUUGGCCAUACCUGUAAAGAAUAAGCACCAACUGUCCCGAGCUCGAGGCCCUUCCUGUUGGUUGUACAUGCUAAAGCGCAUGACUUCAAAUGUGAGGUUAGUAUAAUACAGCACAUUUUUAUCAAAUGACUUGCAAUCCUAUAAAUGAUGCAUAUAAAUGUGUAAUGUUUAACUAUCACUUAACAGAUUAUUUAACAUUUGUAUUGUUAAAGGUAUUGUUGUUGAUGUGAACAGCCCUUAAUUGACAAAUCUACUUUUGUCAAGGAUAUUAUUUUGCACCUGUCUGUGUAUGUUUGUUUAUAAGCAAGAUUACUCCUGAGGUUUACCACUAAUGUAAACACAACUUGGUGGAAGGGUGACAGUUUGAUUUUUGAUUAGGUUUUAAUUGAAUUAAAAGUGACUGUUGGGCAUUGCUUGAGGUCUCUGCUGUACUAAAUUCCCUUGAUGUUUCUGUUUGGGUCCCUCUCUCCAGGUGAAAUGGAGUGGCACAAACCAAGAAGGUGCUGGUAAAACACUAGGGGAGGAAGUAGAGCAAUGUAAUGCUUUCCUCUCCAGGAUAGCAGUCACCACAAAGUAUAUGUCAAAAGCAGGUGCUAUAUAAUUGUACCUCUGUAUACAAAAUAAAAGACAUUUAUAUUAUUACAAGUGAAUCUUUACAGAACUCAUCUCUGUGUACUUGCAGGACGCAAUGACAUGCUGACACUCCUGGCCAUAAGAUGGAACCAGCAGAAAUAUCAAAACCUGGCUACUGCACUUUCCCAGAGAUACCAUAAGACAUCUAAAGCUCUCAAUAUCCAGAUAGGGGACCUGGAAACCCUGAAAGCCCAGCAUCAACUGGGUGAACAGACUGUGGAAGAAUUUGUGCAAGAAGUAAAAGAAUGGGCAGAUGGAGAAAUUGACCAUCAAGGCACACCACAAGCUUUGUGUAAGAAGAUUGAGGCCCUCACAACCAGCAUCAAGAUGAGAGCUCAACUCCUAUAUCGGAAAAAUGACCGCAACAAAGGCCGACAUAGAAUUCGCAGAAAAAUAGGGCAACAGAAGACCACUUUAAAGGCCAUGGUAGCGGAGUACAACAGUCUUGUUCCAUACGAGCAAGCGGUGUGCAUGGAUAGCAUUCUGGACACAGAACAUCCCUGGCCUUGGCAAAUUACACAGAGUGGUAUGCAUUUCAUGUACUGUGCGCAGUGUUGGUCAAGUUACUUGGAAAUAGUAAU
rnacentral:lncRNA from 15 species